UCCCUGGAGGACUAGUGGUUAGGCCACAGCACUCUCACUGCUGCGGUCCGGGUUUGAUUCCCAACCAGGGAA
rnacentral:tRNA from 1 species